GACGAACGCUGGCGGCGUGCUUAACACAUGCAAGUCGAACGGAAAGGCCCUGCUUUUGUGGGGUGCUCGAGUGGCGAACGGGUGAGUAACACGUGAGUAACCUGCCCUUGACUUUGGGAUAACUUCAGGAAACUGGGGCUAAUACCGGAUAGGAGCUCCUGCUGCAUGGGGGGGGUUGGAAAGUUUCGGCGGUUGGGGAUGGACUCGCGGCUUAUCAGCUUGUUGGUGGGGUAGUGGCUUACCAAGGCUUUGACGGGUAGCCGGCCUGAGAGGGUGACCGGCCACAUUGGGACUGAGGUACGGCCCAGACGCCUACGGGAGGCAGCAGUGGGGAAUAUUGCACAAUGGGCGGAAGCCUGAUGCAGCAACGCCGCGUGCGGGAUGACGGCCUUCGGGUUGUAAACCGCUUUCGCCUGUGACGAAGCGUGAGUGACGGUAAUGGGUAAAGAAGCACCGGCUAACUACGUG
rnacentral:rRNA from 1 species